rnacentral:snRNA from 1 species
UAUUGUGAGGGCUAUCUGCCUGAAACAUCCAUCACCCUGCUGGUUGCCAGCUUUGAUACAACUGAUCUGGCUAGGUAGCUACCCAUUCCCUAUUACCACCACCACUCCAUGUGUAUCCCUUCCAAAGCCGUGCACUUGGUCACCCAUAUUUUGGGGUGAAAAAUAUACCCAAUAGAGAAGGACCAUUCUGUUGUCAAGGGUAAAAGCAAAUAUCACUGCUUGGGUGCUAGAACCUCCAAGUUAUGUUUUCUUCUUUUUUUUUUAAUAUUUAUUUUAUUUAUUUAU